UCCGCUAUGGUGUAAUGGUAACUACACGACCCUUUCACGGUCGAGCUGGGGGUUCGAUUCCCUCUAGCGGAU
rnacentral:tRNA from 1 species